AACGCACCUUGCGCCCUUUGGUAUUCCGAAGGGCAUGCCUGUUUGAGUGUCAUUAAAUUAUCAACCUUGCUCGCCUUUACCGGCUUGAGCUGAGGCUUGGACGUGGGGGUUUUUGCUGGCUUCCUUCAGUGGAUGGUCUGCUCCCCUUAAAUUCAUUAGCGGGAUCUCUUGUGGACCGUCACUUGGUGUGAUAAUUAUCUAUGCCGUUUGACCUUGAAGCAAAUUUAUGGGACCCUGCUUAUAACCGUCUCUUACCGGGACAAUUUAAUAACAUCUUGACCUCAAAUCAGGUAGGACUACCCGCUGAACUUAA
rnacentral:misc_RNA from 1 species